UGGGGAAAAAAAUCCCUAGGCUCCAGUAUAACAGAAGAGGAAGAGUGUAUAAGCCCCCAGUGUGGCAGCAGAGGCAGGAGGUGGCACAUAGAUCGAGGACAAUACAGCUGAAGAGGAAUCCUCGCCUCCUUCCCUAGCACUAGUUUCAAGAAGAUGAGGGGAAGCUCAGCUGUCUGUUGGUCACUCCUGCUGCUAGCAGCCCUGUUCUGUCACAGCGUCACAGCCAAAGGAGGCCGCGGAGGCGCCAGAGGAGGGGCCCGAGGAGCUUCACGCGCGGCUUCUCGCAUGCGGGUCAAGACACCAACCCGCUACGGCUCUUUCCGAGUGGCGGCAGGAGCGGCGGCCGCUGGAGCAGUGGCUGGAGCGGCCGCGGGCUUGGCAGGAAGAAGAAGGUGGAGAUACGAUGACAGCUCAGAAGUGAGCAUGCCUUCGGGUAACAACACCGACGAGGGACUUUACAGCUACAGGUCCUGGGCCUCAGACACGUGUCCUCUCAUUUCUUCCUUCCACCUCACUCUGACAUCCUGCGCUACUGCAAUCCUCAAGUUUUAUUUUUAACAAUAAAUAACGCCCCACGCCAAAUAUAAGAGGGGAAAAAAAACUUUUCCACCAUCUUCAUGUGUGUGUGUGUGUGGGAACGUACUUUCUGGAUGACUCUGUUCCAUAGACACCCUACAAAUGUUACCUAGAUAUCCAGCCACAAUUACCUGUACUCUGUAUGAUACAACAACGGGGGUUUAAAGAAAAUGGAUGGGUUACGAUAGGUGAAGAACAGAAGAAUCGAUGCACGUCCCACAAGCUGCUAGCUUUCUGGCCAAAAUGUUUCUGGUCCGACAUAUUGAAAUCAUGUAUUUUGUAUACUGUUAAUUGGACUUGCUCAAAAAAUACCAUCUUUUCAAUCGCUAUCACAGAAAUUUCAAUCUGAUUUCUGUAUUUUUUUGUAUGUGUUCUGCUGUUUCCACGGAAACUAUUACAUGAAAGAUGUAGCCUUGAAAUCACUUAGCCUGGUGGGUUGGCCUUUAUAUUUGACACAGAAGUUUACGCUUUGAGAUAAGCUCUGACACCAUUUUCCAUAUCGACGUUUUAUGGAAGCCAUUAGCGACUAUGGAGCUGUCUGCCCGUGUUGACGACCCAGCAGAGUUGCCAACCUCUGGCCAAUGCGUAGACAUUUUUAAUCUUAUCUCAAUGAUUCUAGAAAUCCUCUGUCAUUUCUGAUCAUGCCAACUCUCCUGGAAAGGAAUUUCAUGAACUCAUCAUCUUUCAUGCCAAAUGUGUUGUUGUCAGGGUAGACCUAGGAGAACGAGCGUGGGCUGAAACGCAACGCUCAUCACAGAUGGGAAACCAGGGUCCUCCAGAGAAA